GAUCAUGGCUCAGGAUGAACGCUAGCUACAGGCUUAACACAUGCAAGUCGAGGGGCAGCAUUGGAGUAGCAAUACUCAGAUGGCGACCGGCGCACGGGUGAGUAACACGUAUCCGAACCUGCCGCUUACUCGGGGAUAGCCUUUCGAAAGAAAGAUUAAUACCCGAUGGUAUAAAGAGUUCGCAUGUUCUCUUUAUUAAAGAAUUUCGGUAAGCGAUGGGGAUGCGUUCCAUUAGAUAGUUGGCGGGGUAACGGCCCACCAAGUCUACGAUGGAUAGGGGGUUCUGAGAGGAAGGUCCCCCACAUUGGAACUGAGACACGGUCCAAACUCCUACGGGAGGCAGCAGUGAGGAAUAUUGGUCAAUGGACGAGAGUCUGAACCAGCCAAAAGUAGCGUGAAGGAUGACUGCCCUAUGGGUUGUAAACUUCUUUUAUAAGGGAAUAAAGUGAGGGACGUGUCCCUUUUUGUAUGUACCUUAUGAAUAAGGAUCGGCUAACUCCGUGCCAGCCGCCGC
rnacentral:rRNA from 1 species